rnacentral:snRNA from 1 species
GUGCUCGCUUCAGCAGCACAUAUACUAAAAUUCGAACAAUACAGAGAAGAUUAGCAUGACCCCUGCUCAAGGCUGACACGCAAAUUCUUGAAGCUUUACAUAUAUUU